GCAAUCACGAGGCCCCACACACACCCUACUAUAUUGUUCGCCAGAGUACUACAAGCGCUAGCUUAAAACCCAAAGGACUUGGCGGUAUCCCAUACCCACCUAGAGGAGCCUGUUCUAUAACCGAUAAUCCCCGUUCAACCUCACCACUUCUUGCCAUUACCGUCUAUAUACCGCCGUCGUCAGCCCACCCUGUGAAGGACCAAAAGUAAGCAAAAAGAAUAAAACUCCAAAACGUCAGGUCGAGGUGUAGCAAAUGAAGUGGGAAGAAAUGGGCUACAUUUUUUUCCAAAAAUAUACGAAUGGUAAACUGAAAACACACCUAAAGGUGGAUUUAGCAGUAAGAGGAGAUCAGAGUACUCCUCUGAAACUGGCUCUGGGAUAAGCACACACCGCACAUCCCACACUACAACAAACGAGCAGUGUCACACAACACACACCGCCUGUUCACAAAAAAAACACUGUAAAACACCAAGAGGGGGGGGGGGGGGAGAAAAAAAAAAAUUGUUGGGGGGGGGGAGGGGGGGGGGGGGGG
rnacentral:rRNA from 1 species